rnacentral:sRNA from 1 species
UAUUCUGGGAGCAAAGGAAAUUGGAGUUAACAAAACCAACCCAGAAACUGCCCUCCUGGUCCUCUAUCAAGUGCAGCAGAAGGUCAUGGAACAAAUGACUUCAAGAGUGUUACUUGUUACUGAAGGGUCAGUAAGAGAUAAUGACCUUUAGGAUCUAUUUUUGCACAUCAAGGGUGGGCAAAAGCAACCCGCAAAUGGAGUCUUAAAAGGUGCCUAGGUGUCUGCUGGCCUACAAGGGUGGGAAGGUGUUCCAGGCUGUGGGCCUGGCUUGAGCAGCGGCCUGGACGUGAGACUCAGCCUGGCAUGCACCCUCGAGACCCUCUUGGCCACUUCCUGUUCCCCAGUGUGAGUUCCAGUGCCAUGAGCAGCCCUGGCCCUGGGCUGCAUCCCUCUCUCUCCCUACCCCUGCCUUUCCUCCAUCUGGUCUCCCUGCAGCCUGGAGAGUGUGUUUCCACUCAUAGCCGAGGGCCAGCGCAGUGCCACGUCACAGGCCAUGCACCAGCUCUUCGGGCUGUUUGUCACACUGAUGUUUGCCUCUGUGGGCGGGGGCCUUGGAGACCCCUGUGCCCUGUGGCACUGGGUGGCACCCUCCUCCAUGGUGGGGGGCAGAGAAGCCUCACAGAUCCUCCCCUACCACCACCAGGGCUCCUGCUGAAGCUACCCUUUCUGGACUCCCCCCCAGACUCCCAGUGCUACGAGGACCAAGUUCACUGGCAGGUG